CAAGUAUUUAUGCUUUGUCUGGUGAUGACUUCUUUUCCAACGGAGUCUGUGAGAAUUCCCCUGAGUAUGAUGGACAAAUCGGUUGAUGACAAGUACGACGGCUGCAGUGAUGCAAUGGCUGAAAAGGUCAAGAAUGAAUACUUCCCCAGAGAGAAGAAGAAGAAUGUGUUAUUCAAAAGUGCCUGGGAGAAUAAAGAAAAUAGUGCAAAUAAAAAAAUAUGAAAAAAUUAUGGAGUCCAUACAGUCAAUUCCGCUGAGUAUGAUGGAGAAUUCAAUUGACGACAUGUACGACGGCUGCAAGGAGUCAAUGGCUGAAGUCGUCAAGAACGUUUACUUCCCCAGAGAGAACAACAUUGACCCAUUUAAAAAUGCUUGGAAGGUUGCAGGCCCCUUUGCAAAAAAAAAAUUAAUGACAGACUGUAAGACAAUCUUUUGGCUGGAGAAUGAAAGUUGAGCAAACUAAACCACAGGACAAUCUGAAGCUGAGUAUUACUGUUAGGGGAUACAGCCAGUCCAGACUUCAUAUA